UGCAGUUAUGCUCAUACUUUUUUAAUGUAUCACAAUGAGCAAGAAACAUACUUGAUGAAAUAUUUUCAAAGGAGUAUAUUCAAUUACCAUCUACAAUCAACUUAACUAGGACAACAAGGUUUUGUGACAAAAGUUUCUUUAAAAGUCUGAAGUUCCAUGUGGUUGUAUGUAUGUUAGUUUCCAUGUAAUUUGGUACAGUUUGGAAAUCUUCAUAUAAUUACAGUAACAAAAAAGCUAACAAGACUACAGUAUAGAAAAGACAUCAAGAACAACAUUUUUGGUUUAACUUGCUCUUUUUUGUACAUUGCAAGGCUGUUUUUUUCUACCCUCAGAUGGGCUGCCUGGAGCCACAGAGCCAUGCUUAUGAGGCUCAAAGGAGGAGUAAUUCAAGGAAACAAAAAGAAAAACUAAACGCAUAAAAAAACAUUGUGGCACCAGAAGUCACAAAAGGAACAGAGAGCUCCAAGUAACAGUUCAUCUUUGAAGUUGGAGCAAAUGGUUGUUUGGUUGUUAGUUUGGUUGUUAAUUUUGGUUAAUACGCUUUUUUAGUGUAACUGCCUCCUUAAGAAUGACAGCUUCGAGAACCCUGCCCCUCUCUAUGUUAUUAAUUUCUCUAUUUAGAUUAUGUAACCAACAGAGAGAGGGGUGAGCCGCCAUUUGACUGGAGAGCUUUACUUGUCAACCAGAGACAAGCACAAGGAAAUGAAACGGGUAGCAACAUGAACUGGAAGAAAUGAAGCAAGCAUCUCUGUCCAUCCUGUCCUGAAAUUUUGAAAAUGUCCAUCAAAGCGCAGAAGCAGAGGCAGAGCUGGAGAAAGAAAGGACAGACAGAAAGGAGAAAGAGGCAGCUGGAGCCACUUAAGUUCAGUUUCAUCUAAGGACUUUCCUCUGUGUGUCACACAUGUCCAUUGGUUCCAGAGUCCAUUCCCAUUACAGAGUUGUCAGUAAUCAAAUAAGGAGGUGGUUUUUAAAGCUGUUUUGAGCCUGCCUUCGGCUCCCAUGCCCAGUUUUGGUGUGCCCACAGCCUCUUGUGUCCUCCUAACAAGAUCUCCAAAGCUUCCCAGAGUCCUUUUUUUAAAAUUUCUUUUCAUUCCUUCUUCAUCUCAAAAACAAACAAACAAACAAAAAAAAAAUACAAAACAAAAAAAGUUGAUGUCUUGUUUUAAAUAUAUCUAUAUCUGUAUACAGGUACACGUUCGUUUUCACAGUGGGCAAAAGAUGACCUCUACAGCAAAACCUUGUCUUUAUCUCUCACUUGUAAUUGUCCAUUAAAUCAAGUAUCCCAAUGUAAGUCAGUGGAUCCAUGUAUCCACAAUAGCGUUUUGUGCCACAAUAAAAUAUACACUUAUCUGGGGCACAAUUUUUUUUUUUCUUUUUGUUUCAACUGCAUAAAGCUUUGGCCACAUUCAUAUAUUCAAUCAAAGUAAAAACUGCUCAGUGCUUCGGUAUCGUCAUUCUCAUUUCUGGUCAUUAUCUUUUAAAUUUGAUUUUUC
ensembl:lncRNA